rnacentral:lncRNA from 1 species
UGUCUACGGACAACGCUGGCUCUUCGGCUUAGAAAUGGAGAUGAGCACCAACCCGCAGAGUCAGACAUGACUGGACUUAACGUCAGGGGAAAACCUUUACCUAACCUAUUAUUAUUAUUAUUAUUAUUAUUAUUAUUAUUAUUAUUAUUAUUAUUAUUAUGUUGUAUGACACAGCAAACAAGAUAGUUAUACUGGAUUUUGUUUCACAAAACCACAAGUCGAACACUUCCCAAGUGUCUAGGACUGUGUGAUGUAUUUUCGGAUGAUGCGUGCAGAUCCCAGUAGGGUGGCCUUUUGCAGUUAGCAGAUCGUAAUUUUGUCAAUGUCUAUUGUUUCCAAAUGCCGGCUGAGAUCUUUUGGCACGGCACCCAGUGUGCCCAUCACCACCUGCACUGGUUUCUGCCAGAGUCUUUGAAGUUCAAUCUUGAGGUCCUGAUAACGGCUGAGUUUUUCCUGUUGUUUUUCAUCAAUGCGACUGUCACCUGGGAUGGCAACAUCAAUGAUCCAAACCUUGUUCUUUUCCACAACUGUGAUGUCUGGUGUGUUGUGUCCCAGAACUUUGUAGUUCUGGAACACAACACACCAGACAUCACAGUUGUGGAAAAGAAAAAGUUUGGAUCAUUGAUGUUGCCAUCCCAGGUGACAGUCGCAUUGACGAAAAACAACAGGAAAAACUCAGCCGCUAUCAGGACCUCAAGACUGAACUUCAAAGACUCUGGCAGAAACCAGUGCAGGUGGUCCCGGUGGUGAUGGGCACACUGGGUGCCGUGCCAAACGAUCUCAGCCAGCAUUUGGAAACAAUAGGCAUUGAGAAAAUUAUGAUCUGCCAACUGCAAAAGGCCACCCUACUGGGAUCUGCGCGCAUCAUCCGAAAAUACAUCACACUGUCCUAGACACAUGGGAAGUGUUCGACUUGUGAUUUUGUGAUAUGAAAUCCAGCAUAUCUAUCUUGUUUGCUGUGUCAUACAAUAAAAUAACAACAACAACAACCUUAUUUUUGUAUUCUGCCCAAUCUCCCCAGAGGGACUCAGGGUAGCUCACAUGGGGAUGAAAUGUGAUGAAAUGUGAAAUACAGUAUCAAUACAUUUAAAACAAGAACACAUAAAACAAGCAUUUAAAACAAGCAUAUAACCAGUUAAACAUAAUGCACAGUAGAAAAGCCGGCCGGGUUGUGGCGCAGGCUGGUGAGCAGCCUGUUGCAAUAAAUCAUUCUGACCAUGAGGUCAUGAGUUCGAGGCCAGCCCAUGGUGGGGUGAGCACCCAUCAAUUAAAAAAUAAAAAAUAGCCCCUUCUCGUUGCUGACUUAGCAACCCGAAAAAUAGUUGCAUAUAUCAAGUAGGAAAUAAGGUACCACUUGUAAAGUGGGGAGGCAAAUUUAACUAAUUUACGACGUUGGAAUGAGGAAGUGCCAUCACAGUGGAUGAUGAAGCAGCUGCUCCCCCCUGUGGCCAGAAUCGAACAUCCCCUCAGGAGAAGGUUAAAUUGCCUCUGCGUCUGUCUCUGUCUCAGUUCUAUGUGUAUAUGGGCGUUGAAUGUUUGCCCUAUAUAUAUAUAUAUAAUGUAAUCCGCCCUGAGUCCCCUUUGGGGUGAGAAAGGCGGAAUAUAAAUACUGCAAAUAAAUAAAUAAAAGUACUGUUAGAGUAUUUGAUGGGGUCAGGCGAUAAAAUAUAUGUGUGUGCAGUCAUUUCAAUCUCUGGAGCUGGGCCAAUAAUUGCAGUAGAUAGGAUGAGUGGGGACAUUGGAGAGGAAUAGCAUCCAGUAUUCCUGUUCAAUCGAACGCACACUGAAAUAACCAAGUUUUCAACCCUUUUUGGAAUGUUGCCAGAGUUGGGGCUGACCUAAUUUUCCUCAGAAGGGAAUUCCAGAGCUGGGAGGCCGCCAAGAAGAAGUCCCUUUCCCUAGUCCCCACCAGCCAUGUUUGAGACUGCGGUAGAAGCAAAAGGAGGGCUGCCCCGGCAGAUCUCAAGGUUCUUGCAGGUUCAAAGUUAGAGAUGUGAUCACAAAGAUAAGCUGUACCCGAACCGUUUAGGGCUUUCUAAGUGAUAACCAGCAUCUUGAAUUGGGCCCGGAAGGUUAUUGGCAGCCAGUGGAGCUGUUUCAAUAGGAAACAGAAGCUGGGGCUAACAGCGGGAGCUCACCCUGCUCCCGAUAUUUGAACCUCUGACUUUCCUCUUUUCUUGCCAGGUGAAUCCUUUCCAGUCUUCUGCCCCAGUAACAGAGUUACUGCUGGAACAGCACAUUUAAAGCUAGGCAUUCCCUAACAUCAGCAAAUGUGGAGAAUGGCCUAUAUGGAAUAAUUUUUUAAAAUCAAUAAAAUGUAAUGCACAGAUACCAGUCAUCUGAGAUUCUCAGAUCCUUGGAAAUGUGGGAUGGACAAUGUCCACAGUGGACAGAUUCCAAAAGGCUUUUAAAAAUGUGGAUACCAAGGUAAAACCCUUAGAACCCUUCCCACCAUGAAUUUUGUUCAUCUCCAGUCCAUACAUACACUAAAUGUAUUCAUCAGUUUAUUGAGAAAUCAUACUCCUCAAAAUACGAAUUAUACAAAAACGAUAUGAAUCUUCAUGAACCAGCAGAGACACAGUCUUGCAAUGUCCAGCAGGCUACCUCCUCUGCCUCAUCUUUUUCUUUGUUCAUUAAACCUCACCCUGGGAAGCAAACUGGCUACACACCAGAGGAAAUCUGCAUGAUCUAUUUACUAACCAUUUUGCCUGGGGUAAGACAGCUUUAAAAGAAAUGGCUAGUACCCCCAAUCUCCUUAAUACAGUCCCUUUACAACUUCAGAUAUGAGCCAAGCCUAUUCAUGAGUUUCUCCAUUCAUGCAUCUCCAAAGCCCGCUUUGUUCCCUGGCACUCAUUCAUAAAUCCCAGGGGUUCAUUCAUAAUGUUCUAUUUAAUAUUUUUCUUGCAAUCACAAUAUCAUCAGAUUGGCUUGCUAGAUUCCACAACCCACAAAAAAUCCAAACAGGCUGCAUCUCCCAUUCCCCUAGAUAUGUACACCCAAUUUGCAUAAUCUCAUCACAAUAUGACAGGGGAUGAGAAGAAGAGGCACUUACUGUACACAUUCAAAAGUGCUUCCCAUUCCCAUAGUUGAGAUCCUUACUAACUCUAUUGACUGAAGCUGUCCCGUUGAUAAAUUUCCAUUUCAUUGAUACAUUUUCUGCUGUCAUUAAGAAUUUCAUUGAAAUCCACUGAUGAGAAUGAAGAAGAUGUGGGAGAAACGUCAUGCACAUUAUCUUUACCAACCCCCUCCUUUGUGUAUACCCAAACUGAAUUGUUAAGUCAAUCAGGAACUCAUUUACAUGUUGCCACACCACAUUCCUGGGAUUUAUGCCCCUCUCGAGGGAGGAACAGUGAAUGGAUAAAGAAUCUGAACCAAGAAAUAACAGCUGUUUAUUUUUCCCAAACAGGGAGGUACUCCCCAGCCAAUGGGAGCCUGGAUCCUAGCUGGGCCAUUUCUCAACCAACAGGAGCUGGCGUGGGUAUUCCAAAUGGCUGUCAAAAUGAAUAACUAUUAUCCGUAUUUUCCAGUGUGACUUGUCAGAUCUUUGAGAGGAUAAAUAUCUGUUCUUUUUGCCUUCAAUCCUGUUUGUGUCCUAAUUCGACCUUUGGGGUACCAUGGCAUGCUGGGUUCUGCAGCUGCGGUUUCAGGUUACUGAAAUCACUCAGCAAAUUCUCCAUAAUACGAUAUGAAACUUGAAGAGACACACACAUAAGGAACUUGCAAAACAGACAUACUUUUAUCUACCCAAUUCUACAAAGCAUUCCUGGAAGAACUGAUGAGUUUUACAUACAUUAUUUGCUAGCAGGUCAGAACUCAAUGGUAACAGUUAAAGUGGGCAGUUUUUGUGCUACAGUGCUUGCUUGUCGGCAAAAAUGAUAUCAUAAACUCAAGGGAAUGUUUUUAAUAAUAUUUAUUUUAUAUAAUCCUGUUUUUAAUAUUAUGUGUUUGGUUCUACUUGUUUUAUCUGAUUUGUUGAUCAUAAUAAAUAUAUAUAAACUUUUGAGGAUUCAUUGCAUAAGAAAACCCUAUGAAAUGCAUUGGGGCACCAUAAGUAGAUAGGUGACUUGCAGGUACAUACACACAAAAUGCAAACAUCAUAUAUGUGCCUUCAAGU